GACGAACGCUGGCGGCGUGCCUAAUACAUGCAAGUUGAGCGCUGAAGGUUGGGCCUUGUGGCGACUGGCAGAGCAGAGCACGGGUGAGUAACGCGUGGAGAAUCUGCCUUUGAGCGGGGGACAAGAUGUGGAAACGAAUGCUAAUACCGCAUAAAAACUUUAAACACAAGUUUGAAGUUUGAAAGAUGCAAUUGCAUCAGUCAGAGAUGAUCCCGCGUUCUAUUAGCUAGUUGGUGAGGUAAAGGCUCACCAAGGCGACGAUGGGUAGCCGGCCUGAGCGGGCGACCGGCCAAACGGGGACUGAGAAACGGCCCAGACGCCUGCGGGAGGCAGCAGUGGGGAAUAGUGCACAAUGGGAGAAAGCCUGAUGCAGCGACGCCGCGUGAGGGAUGACGGCCUUCGGGUUGUAAACCUCUUUCAGCAGGGAAGAAGCGAAAGUGACGGGACCUGCAGAAGAAGCACCGGCUAACUACGUG
rnacentral:rRNA from 1 species